UCGAUCGGCUACGAAAUCAAUUAGGUUUGGCUUAUGUUGGGUUUGGCUGUUCGGUGCGGCGGCGGCGGCUGCGGCUGCGGUGGCGCCGGCGCCUACCUGACGGCUCAGAGAACAACGGCGGCUCGGAGCGGAGCUGGCCGCAGCGGCGUUCUUGCUGCGGGAACUGGGGCCAGGGGUCUGAGCCUUAGGGUUUCCUUCUCGCCCAACUCCCACCCCCACCGCGUCGGUACUUCAUGCCCGUGGCCAGUGCGUUGCUCCCCCGGCCCUUCUCCGGAUCUGCGCGUCAGUAAGAAGAAGAGGGACGAGGCAUGGGAUGCGUUGAAGACGGAGAUCGGCCGCUCGUUCCGCCCACAUCUGCGCAAUCUAGGCGAGAUCUUUUCGCUCCGCAGCCCCUACGACCUGGAAGACUACCAGAUUGGCAUGCUCUUUGGUGCAUUUCUUGGAUGUGUUGGCUGUUACCAACUGUGGAAGACGGCGCCUUCCAUAUUUGUUGAUGCCUUCCUUGCAUUCAUCUUCUACAAGCUCAGUGUUGUGUCCUCAGAGUUACAUAGAAACGACAAGUCCAACAGCUUGAUUACGCGGCUGAAAUUCGGUACCAUACUUAUCAUGGUUUGGAAGGACAUCAAGAAAACCUAUGUCCUCCUGGAUGUUGUUAGGAUGCCGGUUUUCCUCCUCUACAUCUGUGCAUUCCUGUUCGAUGUUGCUGGCGUGAAGAAUUAUGGAAGGCGUGGCUUGGUGUAUUUUGUGAAUCUGAUGAAAACCAGAGGUGGGAUUCAAGAGAUAUGCAGGAUUAUGUGGUUGCCUGGCUAUAUCUCUCCCUAUGAUGAUGGAUUGAACUGGUCAUGAGGCUCAGGUCCUUGCGCAUGCAUGAGAAUGAGACCGCAUCCCCUUGGGUACUUCCUGGAUGGGCAUGUAUCGAAUCAGACUUCUAGAGAUUUGCAAAGGAUUUUGUUCAGUUUGAGGGAUUCAGUGUAGUAGCGCCUCAUCCAAACAAGCCUUUGUUCGGGCGUAGAAUAUGGGAGCCCCAGUCUGUAAUAUAUAUAUUUGCUACAAGUUCUCGUCUGUACAAGCCACCAUAUGUAGUAUCUAACUUAUCUUAGAUGAAUAUCUACUCCCCUCAUCUCAAAAUAAGCGACUCAACUUUGCACUAACUUUGUAUUAAAGCUAGUAUAAAAUUGAGUCAUUUGUUUUGGGACGGAGGGAGUACAUAGUUUCUCCUUUUCUUACUAAUAAAUCUAGUAUCAAACUUACCUUA